GAAAAGGGCAUCAAAGAGAUACUCAGGAAAGUGCUUCAUGCAUGAAAUACUUACAAACUCUUACAACACCCACCACUGUAGCUAACUGCCCACUAUUUCGAAGUGUGAUUUCAAUGUUAUUAAUGGCAAUUCCCAAGGUCAAAUGGGUUGAACCACUUAAUGAAUAUGCAGUAGUACUAUACCCAACUUUAGAUAAUUUUCAGGAACCACAUAACUUCAAACGAGUAUAGGAUAAGGGAAAUAAAGGCAUAAUAAAGGGUCUUAAUAACA
rnacentral:misc_RNA from 1 species